rnacentral:rRNA from 1 species
UACGUAGGGGGCAAGCGUUGUCCGGAUUUACUGGGCGUAAAGCGCGUGUAGGCGGAGCGUUAAGUCUGGCUUGAAAGCCCCCAGCUCAACUGGGGAGAGUGGCUGGAAACUGGCGUUCUUGAGGGCGACAGAGGAGUGUGGAAUUCCUGGUGUAGCGGUGAAAUGCGUAGAGAUCAGGAGGAACACCCGUGGCGAAGGCGGCACUCUGGGUCGCACCUGACGCUGAGACGCGAAAGCGUGGGGAGCGAACGGGAUUAGAAACCCCAGUAGUCC